rnacentral:rRNA from 1 species
AUUGAACGCUGGCGGCAUGCCUUACACAUGCAAGUCGAGCGCGAAAGGGGGCAACCCCGAGUAGAGCGGCGGACGGGUGAGUAACACAUCGGAACGUGCCCAGUAGUGGGGGACAACCUCGAGAAAUCGAGGCUAAUACCGCAUACGACCCACGGGUGAAAGCGGGGGACCGCAAGGCCUCGCGCUAUUGGAGCGGCCGAUGUCCGAUUAGCUAGUUGGCGGGGUAAGAGCCCACCAAGGCGACGAUCGGUAGCUGGUCUGAGAGGACGACCAGCCACACUGGGGACUGAGACACGGCCCAGACUCCUACGGGAGGCAGCAGUGGGGAAUUUUGGACAAUGGGGGCAACCCUG